rnacentral:rRNA from 1 species
CACAUGCAAGUCGAACGGGAAAUAUUCAUUGAGACUUCGGUGGAUUUGAUCUAUUUCUAGUGGCGGACGGGUGAGUAACGCGUGGGUAACCUGCCUUAUACAGGGGGAUAACAGUCAGAAAUGGCUGCUAAUACCGCAUAAGCGCACAGAGCUGCAUGGCUCAGUGUGAAAAACUCCGGUGGUAUAAGAUGGACCCGCGUUGGAUUAGCUUGUUGGUGAGGUAACGGCCCACCAAGGCGACGAUCCAUAGCCGGCCUGAGAGGGUGAACGGCCACAUUGGGACUGAGACACGGCCCAGACUCCUACGGGAGGCAGCAGUGGGGAAUAUUGCACAAUGGGGGAAACCCUGAUGCAGCGACGCCGCGUGAAGGAAGAAGUAUCUCGGUAUGUAAACUUCUAUCAGCAGGGAAGAUAGUGACGGUACCUGACUAAGAAGCCCCGGCUAACUACGUGCCAGCAGCCGCGGUAAUACGUAGGGGGCAAGCGUUAUCCGGAUUUACUGGGUGUAAAGGGAGCGUAGACGGUGUGGCAAGUCUGAUGUGAAAGGCAUGGGCUCAACCUGUGGACUGCAUUGGAAACUGUCAUACUUGAGUGCCGGAGGGGUAAGCGGAAUUCCUAGUGUAGCGGUGAAAUGCGUAGAUAUUAGGAGGAACACCAGUGGCGAAGGCGGCUUACUGGACGGUAACUGACGUUG